CUGAUGUGCAUUGCUAGAGUUUUCUUCAUUCCAGAUUCCUUAAACAAAUACAUCUUAUGUCCUGUCUCUCUGUCUCUCUAUCUCUCUCUAUCUGUCUGCAUCUCUUGAUGUCUCUGUUGUUAUAAGUAAGAGAACAGAUGAAGUGGGUCUACAGGGAGAUGAAGUUGAAGAGAAAAGAUUCUAGAAUGUGGGUGGAAAAGUAUGAGACAGUUAACUGAGAUUGGAUCUGGGGUCCUUCUCUGGGUUUGACCUAGAGGGAUCAGCUGCUUUCCCUUGGUGGUUGUUUGUAUCUUGUCUUUCCCACCCUACCUGCUUAACUGCUGGCUUGUUGUCAUCUACUGAGCUUCCUGAUGUGAUCCUAAACCAUCUGUCUGUAAUCUUCAACUUUCACUUUUUCAUGAUUGUGGAAAUUCCAAGAAAUAUGGCCAUAUAGAAUACUGGAAGACUAUUGUCAUACAGAAUGGGAAUUUACUAAUCCCAGCCUCGAUGUUUCAAAAAUAAUAUAAUAUCCUAAAAGGAGAGAACAACAUGUGAUUUGCUAAAGAGCUACCAUUGGAAUGGAAGACUUGCUAACUCUCGUUCCUGUUCUCACACUGCAACCUCUCUGUAUUCCAUGUGUUUUUUAAAGUAAUUCCUGGAUUAAAUAUGUGGCUAAACUUGGUUGUUGUGUAUGUUUAAGAAAACUGUUGCUAUGCUCUGGUUUGCAUGUUUAAAUAUGUUAUGAUUAAAAUUACUCCCAAGAGAAACAAUCCUUCAUAAAUA
rnacentral:lncRNA from 1 species